AAAACUUUAUCAACCUUCUCUCUCCCACUCUCUGCGACUCAUGAACAGAUCUGUGAGGAUUUCACCAGAUCUAGGGUUUUACUUUCAUUCGAUUUCAAAUCCAUGACCCCAUCCUGUGACGGUGUCGUGUGCAGUGUUAAAAUCCGCCGAUUAGGGUUCCGGCAGUGGGAUUCUCGAGCAGAUUGUUGGCAAAUGAGACGAGCAACUGGCGGUAGAUGGUGGUUGAGGUAGGUUCCGACAACCCGGUUCCGAUUUAUCGGCUGCAUGUACGUUUUCUGACAACGAAGUUUAGAAGCUGGUGGCGUGUUUGUGCUGGUUCGACAAAGCCAGAAAGCGGAGGCGACGGCUAGGGUUCCGAUUAGUGAUCUCGGUCCGAUGUUCUUCACGAGAGAUGAUCUACUCGAGAUGGUAAAGAUGGAAUUCCAGCAUUGCUUGGGGUUACAGGGGAUAUACCAGCAGCAGUUACCGUGGAGGAUAUUGAUAUUGCUGUGAAAGCAGCACGCAGAGCUCUUAAACAUGAUGAAGGAAAAGAAUGGGCAUCAGCUUCUGGGGCUCAUCGUGCAAAGUAUCUUCGUUCCAUUGCUACAAAGGUUACUGAGAAAAAGGAUAAGUUCGCUAAGCUUCCAAUGGAUACCUUUAAAUUCCAUAUCAUCAGGGAACCAAUUGGUGGUGUUGGGCUGAUUACUCCAUGGAAUUAUCCUUUGCUAAUGGCUAUUUGGAUAGUUGCAUCUGCACUGGCUGCUGGGUGUGCUGCAGUACUUAAGCCAUCAGAGUUGGCGUCUGUCACGUGUCUGGAAUUAGGCAAAGUAUGCAGGGAGGUGGGGCUGCCCCCUGGCACGUGUCUGCAACAAAAAUUCCUUCCGGCGCGUACACAACUACCACCAGCAAAACUGAAGAUGAGAAUUCUACCGGUGACAUCUAGAGUUGAAUUUCAUGUCUUAAGGUGGUUAUGAGGGUGUGCACCGUGAGUUCCAGCAAAUCAGCAAUGCCUAGAAAGUUUAGAAUGAGGGUUGUACGAUGGUGGUGGUUGUGCGAACACAUUUAGAUGGGCGAUUUGAAGAUGGCCAAAUUUUCCUAGCGAUUGAGGUAAGUACAGUCCUGCUUAGCUUCAUUUAUCAGCUAAUCUUAUCAUUCCGACCAGCAGUAGGUUGAGUGAAUAUGAUGUUUUAGGUCGGUUGGCAGCUAAGAUGUCUCUGACUGCUGUGAAUUUGGAGCCAGUGAAGUGGUGUUGUUUGAUCAAUUAACGUUUACGUGUUUUUUGAUCAAUUAGCGUUUCCUGUUACUAUGCAACAGACCAUUAUGUGGAGUGACAAACUUGGUUUGGUACCGGUGAAUAGUCAUGGGACCUAACUGUAUAUGGGGACUUAUAUUACCGUGCUUUAAUCUUUGUCAUAUAGACUAGAACAACUGCUCAAAAGGACUUAAAUUAUGGAACAUUGGGCUCGCUGGGAGGUUAAUAACUUACUGAAGCAAUUCUAGGGGCUGUUACCAGAACUUUGGGUAUUCCAGAUACCAUUUUUUUCUUAACUGGAAGUAAAGAUGGGAUGUAACGCUUUGGGAUGCUUAGAGGGCAAAAUUGGUAUCAAUGGCCAAAGAUGCAUGAUAGACAACAUUAAUAUUGUGGUUGGCUCAUAGAGUUGUACUAAUCUGAUGGGAACAUUGAUCUGGUGUGGCAUCUUGGGAUACUUGUUUGUAUUGUUCUGCAGGGAGUGAAUGUUUGAUGGGAUGCUGUUCCAUAUUCCAUCAAUUGGCAUUGCCUCCCAUUUGCUUUGUUAUACGAUUUAUGUCUGUUGGUUCAUAGAUUUGGCUUCCUUGGGAUAGAAAAUGUUUGUAUCUGGGGUGGCCCUUUGGUUUCAUAUAUUAAUUAGCUGGUUAGUCUUGGUGCAAUUUAAGAGUGUUACAGGUUGGUGCUAAGAUGAAAACUGUUAUUUUUGUUGAUUUUGUGAUGUUUAAUGGAAGUUUGUUUUGGCUGGUCAAAAAAAGAAAAACAACGUUCAUAAUUACAGAUUAUAUAUUUUGGCAAGAAAAUCUACAUAUACCAGCCAAGCGAAUAGUAUACAUUCACAUGUGAGAAUUUUUUAAUAUAUUAAAAGGUGGAAAAAUUGCAUAUGUGCCAAUUUGACCUGACCCAUUGACCCACAUAAAAUUACCCUCUUUGUCAAAGAGUCUUUGAGUUGGUACUGAAUUUCACCUCUUAGCACAGUCCAGUUUGUCACAUGUAGAUACUUGAUUUCUAUUUACAACUAACCAACAAUUAUAAAAUA
rnacentral:lncRNA from 1 species